GCCUUUGUGGUGUAAUUGGAAGCACACUUGAUGCAUAAUUGAGAGGGUCCAGGUUCAAGUCCUGGUGAAGCCA
rnacentral:tRNA from 1 species